UCGUACACUGCGGUUCCUGUGCGCCGUCCGCACCCGCCUGACGACUGCUCGCGACGUUUUGUUAGCC
rnacentral:sRNA from 1 species